rnacentral:rRNA from 1 species
GAGAAUCUGAUGCUUGAUGCCGCGUGAGUGAAGAAGGCCUUUGGGUUGUAAGCUCUUUUGUAGGGGAAGAUAUGACUGUACCCUAAGAAUAAGGUCCGGCUAACUUCGUGCCAGCAGCCGCGGUAAUACGAAGGGACCUAGCGUAGUUCGGAAUUACUGGGCGUAAAGCGCGCGUAGGCCGUUGAGUUAGUUAAUUGUGAAAUCCCAAAGCUUAACUUUGGAACUGCAAUUAAAACUGCUCGACUAGAGUUUGAUAGAGGAAAGCGGAAUACAUAGUGUAGAGGUGAAAUUCGUAGAUAUUAUGUAGAACACCAGUUGCGAAGGCGGCUUUCUGGAUCAACACUGACGCUGAGGCGCGAAAGUAUGGGUAGCAAAGAGGAUUAGAUACCCUCGUAGUCCAUACCAUAAACGAUGAUAGCUAGAUGUUGGAAAUUUAUUUCCAGUAUCGCAGCUAACGCAUAAGCAAUCCGCCUGAGGAGUACGACCGCAAGGUUAAAACUCAAAUGAAUUGACGGGGACCCGUACAAGCGGUGGAGCCAUGUGGUUAA